CGCGGGCGUCCUGGGUGGGGGCUGGGACUGCACACCCAGUGCCAGUUCUUAGCACAAGGAGCGGGCAGCGGGGCCUGGUCCCCUCCACGAGCUCGUCUCCCUUCCCGGCCCCACCUCCCGUCUGCACUGGCCACUCUGGUGAAAUCGCAGGCCUCGUCUCUGAAGCUCAGUGUGAAUGUGAGCUGGCCGUGCCCGCUGGCCAUGGGUGGCGUGGCAGGGCAAGGGCCCGCCCAGGAGGCCAUGGCCCUCACAGGUGUUCUCUAAGAACCACUGUGGGCUUAGGCAGCAGGCCUGGGGCCCUUGGCAGGGACCCACGGCACUUCUGCACGAUCCCUUGGGCGACUGGCCCCCAAGGCCAGCUCUGUGCAGAACCAAGGCCAGGGCCCAGGGCGCCCCAUGGAUCAGCUAGGUCCGCUUCCCCGCUGCCGAGGUGGGCCAGGGCUCUGGCUCUUUUCUUGGCCAGGAUGUGCUCUGACCCCAGGGUUUGUUGAUCCCCUGACCCGAGCGCCCUCUCCCCCAGCCUCCCUCUCCUGUUCCGGAAGAGUGGGCUCUUCCGAUGAGCACCCGUGAACAAGAGCCCGUGUGAUUUCCUGACACAAAGAGGACUCACGCAGGGGCUCCACACAGCAGAUGUCCCUGGUCUGACCGUGCUGGGCCUGGCCCUUCCUUGGCUUGAAGACAUACUACUUCAGUUUCUGCCUCCAUGGCCGCGUGACUCCCCUGUGUGUCUGUGUCUCUCUUGAGGACACAGGACACCUUGGUUAGGGCCGACUGUACUGCCCUCAUCUCUACCAACUACACCAGCAGAUCUGCUUACUUCCAAGUAAGGCCACCCUCCCAGGCACCAGGCGCUGGGACCUGGACACCAUCCACCACCCAGAGCCCUGGAGGUCCCACUCCAGCCAGGCAGGCACUUGCUAGUUCCGGGGCGUGGGCUCAGCCAGGGCUCCUGCUGAACCUGCCCACAGCCCCUCGAGGCAGAGUCCCAACUGCCAGGAUUCUCUAGGCCCCUGGCUUCCUGCCACAUGCUCCUCUUCAAAUGGAUUCACUUUUGAAACCAUUUUUCUCAUCUUAAGUAGCAAAACCCUGAAACCAUGUUUCUGGUGUGUUAUUGUGUUUUAACUGAUGCACAUUGAAAAUAAGCCUGUAUUUUUAAGUCAUCCACCUUCCAUCUAAAGCCAAGGUACAGACUCCACUUUGGAAAACGCUGUUGAUGUUGAAUAUUCAACCUGUAUUCUCCAAGGCAACAGUUGAACUUUAUCAGAAGCAUCCAAAAGAAUGCUUCCAAGGGCAGCCAUUCCAGGCCCCAUGGUGGUCUCGUAGGAGGAGGGGGCCCGGGGCCCUGGAAGCUGGGAGCUUCUCUCUGACACAUGAGCUCUGAGACCGACGAGGCGGGCUCAGCCCUGCCUGUGCCCCAGCUGAAGGGUCUGCUCACAGCCUCCAAGGCUCCGCUGGCUUGUGUACGCUGGAAAUGCCAGUAGCCGUUCCUAGGGAUAGGUGCGGUAUCUAGGGCGGCACCUCAACUGACACCCUGCUGGCUCUCUGCGCUGCCCGGGAGGCCGCUGCCCC
rnacentral:lncRNA from 1 species